UCCAUGUGGUUGAUGCCAUUCUAUUGACCCCAUUCCAGCCAUUAUUAUGAGCCGUCCUCCCCUCAGCAGCCUCUGCUUUCCACUAUUUAUUUUUUUAACAAUUUGAAGUGUUAAAUAUUAGCCACUAUUGAUAGCCACCGUCAGUUAGACCCACAUACAUUUAUAACUCUCACGUUUGUGUUAGUUUACAUUUCUUUCCUCUCACGUUUGUGUGGUUGUUCCUGAGGAUAGCUAGCAGUAGUGGAUCAUAUUAGGCUAACUAACGUAUUACAAGUUGUGCAACAAUUUGGGAUAGGUAGUCUAUUUGAAUCAUUAUGGAACACAGACCAUACUUAGCCAUUUAAACCUGGAGCUUGGCUUUGGUGGUAUACCAUGUUUUGGAAUAAGCCCAAACAUUGUUUAAUACCCUCAAAACUAUGUCUUUGAAGUUUUUAAAAAGUAACUACAAAUAUUCAAAUGUAUUUAAGUUAAUGGUUGCAGUCCAGUGGAGGCUGCUGAGGGGAGGUCUGCUCAUAAUGUGUUUGAUGAUACCUUUCCAUUUAUUCUGCUCCAGCCAUAACCACGUGCCCGUCCUCCUCAGUUAAGGUGCCACCAACCUCCUGUGCUGCAGUCAACUUGUGCAAUAGAUUAGGAAAUAAAGCAGAUUGCGUUCUUCAUUUCACCUGUCACAUUAUUUAACAUUAUGAAGCUUACCGUAGUUCCCCAGAACAGUUGAGCCAGUCACGUGUGGUAUUCAAUUCACUACUAGAUGUUUGCCAUCAGAUAUAACGGCUGAUGUGCUUUAGAAGUAAAAAAAUAUAUAAUCUGAGUUUUCUUUACACCUGCCAUUUUUUCUCCUAUAAUUGUUUCCCUUCUCUGUGCACCAUGUACACAUGCUGCUCUUCCUUCAGAAAAGUUUGCAUCACAACUUUAUUCAUUUGCACAAUUUCUCUUCUUUAGGAUUGUGUUGGCGGAUAGCAUCCAAUUUAAGGUACAUGCACCUCCACCUACUCUACUGGAGUGUGAGGCUAUUCACUGUCUACCAACAUUUAGGCUCCCGAGAUGCGAAGCGGCCUAAGGCACUGCAUCUCAGUGUAAGAGGCGUCAUUACAGACCCUGGUUAGAUUCCAGGCUGUAUCACAAAUGGCCGUGAUUGGGAGUCCCAUAGGGGUUUGGCUGUCAUUGUAAAUAAGAAUGUGUUCUUAACUGGCUUGCCUAGUUAAAUAAAGGUUACGUUUAAAUUAUUAUUAUUAUUUUUUAAAUCUUUGUGAUACAGUAUUGUAAAAUUGGGGAAAAGGAAAAAUUAUCCUGCCAACUAUUAGCCCUCUCUAAUACAAAAAUAAACAUCACUCCAUUCCACGAUUUACCCUAUCCAAUCCUAUUCCAGACCAACGUUCUGGGCGGACAGAACACUACGGCUCAACACCCCCUGCAACUGUUCUGCAGUAAAAACCUUGCAAUCCCAAGUAUUUCUCUGCCGCUGCCACCACAACCUAUAUUUUAUGUGACCUUCGAUCGAUUUCUGCAGUACAAUUGACAACCACAGCUAUGAAUGCCUACCUUACUGAAGCACAUAUUCUUCCCAUCACUCUCUAUUAGUAUCUGCAUGCUCACAUGAAUCCUCUCAGGAUCCCUCACACAAUUUAUAUUGUUUACUUUCGCUUGUAAAUGUCCACACUCACUGAAAAUGACAUUCGGUAGCUACUAGCUAUGCUUGUAUAACGUUGAGCUGUAUUUGCAUUUCUUUGCAAUUAGUUUAUGUUCAUCUUCCCUCGUUAGCAUUUAGCUAACAGCGUUGGUGUGAUUUCCCUAUUAUUUGUGCUAAUUUUGUUCGGAUUUUGGUAUUAGAGGCCCAAUGGGCUUUUUUUGUGUUGUGCUAUGCCGGUAAUACGGUAAAUCUCAGGAUGGCAAUGGAAAGAACAGUAUGACAAUGUGGAUAUCGCCCAAGCCUACCUUGCGCACUGGUGUCAUCACAUUUCCAUGAUUAUUAGGGUAGAUUUAUAGGACUACUGUUCAACCCCUAUUGUACUUACCUUCCAAUAGUUCAUGGAUUGAACAAUUGCAUAUGCCAACUUUCAGGAUGAAUCAAUAUAUUUAGUGCAUAAAAGCUCUCCAAACCUGUUUUUUAUUAUUUAUAAAUACUUUCCUAACCCUAAAUAAUAUAUUCCAAUGAGUCUGUUGAGAAAAUUGUAUUUAUAGCUACACCAAAUUUAAAGGUAUGGCUUUAGUUAAAUGUAAUGAAAACCCUAUUGAAUGAAAAUGGCACAUGAAAUUCUGUUGGCCAGCAAGUCGGAGGGUUUUCAGCGAUUAAAUUAAAUGUAUUCAGCGUGCAAGGGAACUACGCCUGCAAAGCCCUUAAGGUAAGUCUGAAUACCAACUACUGAGGAGUGCGUAGGAAAGGCAUACAUUUCCUAAGUAUGAAUCGGGCCCAUUCUUAAAUUCAAGGUCAGAAUACCCACAGAGAGAAAAGUGCAUAAAAAAAGGAAUUAAGUUCCAUUUACACACAUAAUUCGGGUGUGAAAGCUCUCCAAACCUGUUUUUUUUAUGUAGGUAGAUUCAUAAAUACAUUCCUUAGCCUAAAUAAUAUACAGUGCAUUCGGAAAGUAUUCAGACCCCUUCCCUUUUUCAUUUACGUUUCCUAGGUGAGUAGGAUAAUUAUGAGAUGGAGUUACAUCGGGAUGCCACCAGGCUGCAAGCAAGUCGGGAGAAGAGGAGGAAUAUUGGGACACGUACACAGAAAGGUGGAUUUCUGUGGAGUAAUGGAACAGGGAAAAAAGAGGAAGAGGUUGAAUGAGGAAAGCAGAGGUUGGAUUUGAAUUUGGGUAUAUGAGAUUUGACUUCCAGAAGAGUUACAGGGUGUAUUGAGUGGUGGUGCCCCGUCCUCCCAGUUCGUUGGCAUGGUGCAGGAGCAGAUAGGGUCAAAGUAGUGGAAUGGGGUAGGGUUAGUUUCCCAUCUUGUUACACAAAGUGUAAUGAAUUUAUACUAUAGUUCAGUUGGUGGCGGUAAUGCAACAUAUUGGAUGCCAAUCGCCAUUAAACUCCACCGAAGAAGAGAGGAAGUGAACCAUAGCGUCAUAUGAACGAGAUCAGGAUGGAACCCCAAAGAACUUCUAGUGUGUUUGUAAACAACAGCUAGCUAGCUAAUUUAGUCUAGUUCAGGGCCCUCCAACCCUGUUCCUGGAGAGCUACUCUCCUGUAGGUUUUCGCUCCAACUCCAGUUCUAAUUAACCUGAUUAAUUUUACUAACCAGCUAAUUAUUAGAAUCAGGUGUGCUAGAUUACGGUUGGAGCAAAAACCUACAAGAAGGAAGAGCCCAGGUCUAGUUUUCUCAAGGUCAAAAAUAGCAUUUUUAACAUAGUAUUUGCGGGUGGGAUGGUCGGAUUAAUAUAUUUUUGAAAAUGUAUGUUUUUAUAGAUUUCCCAAAGAAGCAUUUCAGCAGGCUGCUUUGCCUGCAUGGAUAGCAAUGUUAGCAGCAGGAGGUGACAGCGCCAGGAUGUGUACUAGGGUUGAAUGGCUGGAACCCGGUUACGGAGAUUUACCAGGAUAUACCAUCCAAACCACUCCCUUUUCCCUGGAUAAAUAACUGAGAACCCGCCUCUGCAUGAUGAAUCAACGCUCAGGGUGGGGACAGACAGCCCAUCUCAGUAUGGAGAGCAGUUCACAAUGCAUGUAGACCUAUCAUCUCAUCAUGGUAAAAGUUUUUCUUGUAGUCCUACAUUUGCUGCAGCACAGCCUAUACUACAGUAAUAUAAAGACCUAAUGAGUGUCUAAUUUACCUAUCUCCAUUUGGUUUUCGGGGGUCACCUUGUCCUUUAAUUGUAAAGACUAUCAUUUUUUAAAAUAGCAUCUGCAGUCUCUCUCUCUCUUUCUCUCAAAAAUAUAGAUAAUCCCGUACUAGAUCUAUAUAUUGAUUUCCUAGCCUACCUCUUUCAGGUAAUACAUUCAAUGCAGUAUUAUCCUUUAUAUUUAGCAAAAAUAAUGAUGGGUUAUGCAUAAUACGUUUCUAACGUAUAGGCUGUCUCUUGCACAAUAUGCAAGCACCUGUGCUUCACUGGCCUCUCCUUAACUCUUGGAAUCCCAUGCAGGAAAAGCUCAACUAGAAUAACAUAUAGCACAUUUUUUUUGUAACAUUUCCUAAACCAAUAGACUAUUUGAAGAGGGACGCAAGCUCUUUUUUGCUGAAUGUUAAAUACAGCAGCCAAUAGAACUCACAGGUAGUUUGAAUGGUUAUGGGUCUGAAUAAAUAACUGCUAUCACCUACCAUCAUCGCGUGUUUGCUCUUUCAAUCUUUGUGAGGAGAAGUUAAAGCCUUCUGCGUCUAAUUCUAGUCCUAUAUUAUUCAAGGAUGUCAUUAGAAUGAUGAAGAUAAGGACAACAAAACUUAUUUCAUUUAACUGUUGAACGCGAGGAAGGAAUGAAGCAACAAUAGAGAAAGAGGUAAACUAAUAACAUUAGGGGAAAUAUUAUGAAAGGUAUAUAUGCGUCAGCCUACUAAUUAUCCAAAUAGGCCCUAUUAUAUUUAAAAAAUGUAAUCAAAUUUGCUAGCCUAUAGGCCUACUUCUAACUGUGUAGGCCACAUGUGCUGCACCAGAAUCGCAUGUUCUCUCCCUGCUUUGUUAUGGUUUGAAUGAUGUGCGUAAUUCCAGUCCAUAUAAUACAGUAUAAAACAGUACAGUAAUACAGUUAACACUCAGAGAUUAGCCUACUGGAGCUUGUCUAAUCUAUUUACCCAAUGGGUUGUAUUGUAACUAUUUUAUUAUAGUGCAAGUAUUUUCAUGACGUCAUAAAAGGGGAUUGGGCAAGUUGGUCCAUGUGCAUCCGUCUCCUGUGUUAUGUUACUUGUUCUUUCAUUAACGUCAACCAAAGUGAUAUUAGCCUCUGGAUUUUUUACAUAAAGCAUAACACUACACUGAAGAGAGCAUAUAGCUUGCUACAUCUAUGGGCUUUUCAGUUUUUCUGUUGUGCGUAAUAUGCAGUAGCCUAUUUCACAUGUAUUGGAUAACGGCACAAUCAUUUGAGCUUUUUUGGGCUUGAGCUCACUAAAUGUCGUUAAUGUAGGCUUCAUAAAAUGUAUUUAAUAUGGCUGGUCAGGUUCAGGUAGCAUCAGGUUAGAAUUUUCAUGCUGAUCAAAGCUACAAUCAAAUCCAGAAAUAUUUAUAUGCUUUAUAAUGCUUUUGAAUGACACUUCCGGCUUUUGUCGAGAAAUACCGGGUUACCCGGGAGAAAAGGGAUUUAUUCUCGGGAUGAAACAUUUGUAAAAUACCAGGAAAAUAUUCAACCCUAAUGUGUAGCACUUGUUGUUUAUCAAGCUAACAAUCUAUUCUCGGUAAAGUUAGCUAGGUAGCUAGCUACAUACAUAGAAAUAGGAUAGGCUGCCAUCCAAUAUUAGUUUUUUUAAUGACACAAACGUUAGCUUGAUCUACUAUAAACAACAAUGUUAGCUAGCUAAUCAACAUAUUUCAUGGCCAGCAUGGCCAAGAUGUUCAAAUGUUCAUAGAUGACCAGCAGGGUCAAAUAAUAAUAAUCACAGUGGUUGUAGAGGGUGCAACAGGUCAGCACCUCAGGAGUAAAUGUUAGUUGGCUUCUCUUAGCCGAUCAUUCAGAGUAUCUUGAAAUCCAAGAUGGCAUAGCAGUUCAGAUGUCUUUUUUGUCCUCGUAUUGUCGUGUCCUGUAUAUAUAUAUAUUUACACCUUUCUUCGCAUAUCUUUAUAUAUUUUAUUAUCCAAGAACUCAACUACAAAAGCUUUCCUGCAACCCGCCUCACCAAUUACAAAAAAAAAAGUAUUAUUUACCUCAAAUCUGAAAAUCCACAGUGGAAGCUAGCCAGAGGCUAACCAGAAGCCGUCCGAAGCUAGCCGGAAGCUACCCAGAAGCUAACUAGAAGCUAGCCAGUAGCUGAUCUGAAGCUGCCCAGAAGUUAGCCGGUUUGCUGGCUAGCGUUGGUGUUUCAGCUGCCCAUGUUUUGUGGUCUUCAGCUAUUCCUUUAGCUCGAUAAUCUAUCGGCACUUUUGUGCAACGCGACUCGGACCGGAGCAUACCGGGCCUAUUUUUCUCAGUGUCCCCGGAUUUCAGCCGCAGGCUCUGGACGUUUGCACCUUGAUUUCGCAGCUAGCUAGCUGCAAACCGUGUGACUAUUGGCUUACGUCGAUCCCGGAGCAAACUUAAAUUAUUCCGGAGCUAGCCAGCUGAGGAGUUCCAUCAGCCAUUCCUGGGCUACAGUCACCUAUCCGGACCUGUUUUUUUGUUGUUGCUGCAGAUGCGGAGCCCCAUCGGGCCUUCACGACUGACUGCCGACAUUAUCUGCCCGAGGGAGUUAUCCAACUGGCACCUCCGUCGCAACGUUACCUGAACGCUCAUCUGGGGCCCGCUAAUCGUUAGCUGUCUUAUCGGCUGCUAUCUGAAUAAGUAUAUCGGACAAUUUUUUUCUUGGGUCACUAUAUCUAUUUUGCCAAUUGGAUUGAUCCCCUCUACCACAUGGAACCCCACUAAUCUACCGACGGAAACGCACGAGGUGUCUAAAAAUAGACAUCCUAUGCUAUCUUGCUACUGAUAGCCAUCUACCCGGCCAGCUGUCUGGAUCGCCGUGACCCCAACCAACCUCUACUCACUGGACCCUUAUGAUCACUCGGCUAAGCAUGCCUCUCCUUAAUGUAAAUAUGCCUUGUCCAUUGCUGUUCUGGUUAGUGUUUAUUGGCUUAUUUAAUUGUAGAGCCUCUAGCCCUGUUCACUAUACCAUAUCCAACCUUUCAGUUCCACCACCCACAUAUGCGAUGACAUCACCUGGUUUCAAUGAUGUUUCUAGAGACAAUAUCUCUCAUCAUCACUCAAUACCUAGGUUUACCUCCACUGUAUUCACAUCCUGCCAUACCUUUGUCUGUACAUUAUUCCUUGAAGCUAUUUUAUCUCCCCCAGAAACUUCCUUUUACUCUCUGUUCUAGACGUUCUAGACGACCAAUUCUCAUAGCUUUUAGCCGUACCCUUAUCCUACUCUUCCUCUGGUGGUGUAGAGGUGAACCGAGGCCCUGCAGUACCUAGCUCCACUCCUAUUCCCCAGGUGCUCUCUUUUGAUGACUUCUGUAACCGUAAUAGCCUUGGUUUCAUGCAUGUUAACAUUAGAAGCCUCCUCCCUAAGUUUGUUUUGUUCACUGCUUUAGCACACUCUGCCAACCCGGAUGUUUUAGCCGUGUCUGAAUCAUGGCUUAGGAAGACCACCAAAAAUUCUGACAUUUUCAUCCCUAAUUACAACAUUUUCAGACAAGAUAGAACGGCUAAAGGGGGCGGUGUUGCAAUCUACUGCAAAGAUUGCCUGCAGAGUUCUGUUUUACUAUCCAGGUCUGUUCCCAAACAAUUUGAACUUCCACUUUUAAAAAUCCACCUCUCUAAAAACAAGUCUCUCACCGUUGCCACCUGCUAUAGACCACCCUCUGCCCCCAGCUGUGCUCUGGACACCAUAUGUGAACUGAUUGCCCCCCAUCUAUCUUCAGAGCUCGUGCUGCUAGGCGACCUAAAUUGGAACAUGCUUAACACCCCAGCCAUCCUACAAUCUAAGCUUGAUGCCCUCAAUCUCACACAAAUUAUCAAUGAACCUACCAGGUACCAACCCAAUUCCGUAAACACGGGCACCCUCAUAGAUAUCAUCCUAACCAACUUGCCCUCCAAAUACACCUCUGCUGUUUUCAACCAAGAUCUCAGCGAUCACUGCCUCAUUGCCUGCAUCCGUAAUGGGUCAGCGGUCAAAUGACCUCCACUCAUCACUGUCAAAACGCUCCCUGAAACACUUCAGCGAGCAGGCCUUUCUAAUCGACCUGGCCGGGGUAUCCUGGAAGGAUAUUGAUCUCAUCCCGUCAGUAGAGGAUGCCUGGAUAUUUUUUUUAAAUGCCUUCCUCACCAUCUUGAAUAAGCAUGCCCCUUUCAAGAAAUUUAGAACCAGGAACAGAUAUAGCCCUUGGUUCUCUCCUGACCUGACUGCCCUUAACCAACAGAAAAACAUCCUAUGGCGUUCUGCAUUAGCAUCGAACAGCCCCCGUGAUAUGCAACUUUUCAGGGAAGCUAGGAACCAAUAUACACAGGCAGUUAGAAAAGCCAAGGCUAGCUUUUUCAAGCAGAAAUUUGCUUCCUGCAACACAAACUCAAAAAAGUUCUGGGACACUGUAAAGUCCAUGGAGAAUAAGAACACCUCCUCCCAGCUUCCAACUGCACUGAAGAUAGGAAACACUGUCACCACCGACAAAUCCACUAUAAUUGAGAAAUUCAAUAAGCAUUUUUCUACGGCUGGUCAUGCUUUCCACCUGGCUACCCCUAAACCCGGUCAACAGCACUGCACCCCCCACAGCAAUUCGCCCAAGCCUUCCCCAUUUCUCUUUCUCCCAAAUACAGUCAGCUGAUGUUCUGAAAGAGCUGCAAAAUCUGGACCCUUACAAAUCAGCCGGGCUAGAUAAUCUGGACCCUUUCUUUCUAAAACUAUCUGCUGAAAUUGUUGCCACCCCUAUUACUAGUCUUUCCAACCUCUCUUUCGUGUCGUCUGAGAUUCCCAAAGAUUGGAAAGCAGCUGCGUUUAUCCCCCUCUUCAAAGGGGGGGACACUCUUGACCCAAACAGCUACAGACCCAUAUCUAUCCUACCCUGCCUUUCUAAGGUCUUCGAAAGCCAAGUUAACAAACAGAUUACCGACCAUUUCGAAUCCCACCAUACCUUCUCCGCUAUGCAAUCUGGUUUCAGAGCUGGUCAUGGGUGCACCUCAGCCACGCUCAAGGUCAUAAACGAUAUCUUAACCGCCAUCGAUAGGAAACAAUACUGUGCAGCCGUAGUCAUUGACCUGGCCAAGGCUUUUGACUCUGUCAAUCACCACAUCCUCAUCGGCAGACUAGACAGCCUUGGUUUCUCUAAUGAUUGCCUCGCCUGGUUCACCAACUACUUCUCUGAUCGAGUUCAGUGUGUCAAAUCGGAGGGUCUGUUGUCCGGGCCUCUGGCAGUCUAUGGGGGUGCCACAGGGUUCAAUUCUUGGACCGACUCUCUUCUCUGUAUACAUCAAUGAUGUCGCUCUUGCUGCUGGUGAGUCUCUGAUCCACCUCUACGCAGACGACACUAUUCUGUAUACUUCUGGCCCUUCUUUUGACACUGUUAACAACCCUCCAGGCGAGCUUCAAUGCCAUACAACUCUCCUUCCGUGGCCUCCAUUUGCUCUUAAAUACAAGUAAAACUAAAUGCAUGCUCUUCAACCGAUCGCUGCCUGCACCUGCCCGCCUGUCCAACAUCACUACUCUAUACGGCUUUGACUUAGAAUAUGUGGACAACUACAAAUACCUAGGUGUCUGGUUAGACUGUAAACUCUCCUUCCAGACUCACAUCAAACAUCUCCAAUCCAAAGUUAAAUCUAGAAUUGGCUUCCUAUUCCGCAAUAAAGCAUCCUUCACUCAUGCUGCCAAACAUACCCUUGUAAAACUGACCAUCCUACCAAUCCUCGACUUCGGUGAUGUCAUUUACAAAAUAGCCUCCAAUACCCUACUCAAUAGAUUGGAUGCAGUCUAUCACAGUGCCAUCCGUUUUGUCACCAAAGCCCCUUACACUACCCACCACUGCGACCUGUACACUCUCGUUGGCUGGCCUUCGCUUCAUACUCGUCGCCAAACCCACUGGCUCCAGGUCAUCUACAAGACCCUGCUAGGUAAAGUCCCCCCUUAUCUCAGCUCGCUGGUCACCAUAGCAGCACCUACCAGUAGCACGCGCUCCAGCAGGUAUAUCUCUCUGGUCACCCCCAAAACCAAUUCUUCCUUUGGCCGCCUCUCCUUCCAGUUCUCUGCUGCCAAUGACUGGAACGAACUACAAAAAUCUCUGAAACUGGAAACACUUAUCUCCCUCACUAGCUUUAAGCACCAGCUGUCAGAGCAGCUCAGAUUACUGCACCUGUACAUAGCCCAUCUAUAAUUUAGCCCAAACAACUACCUCUUUACCUACUGUAUUCAUUUAUUUAUUUUUGCUCCUUUGCACCCCAUUAUUUCUAUCUCUACUUUGCACUUUCUUCCACUGCAAACCAACCAUUCCAGUGUUUUUUUUUAAACUUGCUAUAUUGUAUUUACUUCGCCACCAUGGCCUUUUUAUAUUUGUAUUUAUUUUUAUAUAUAUUUUGUUUGCCUUCACCUCCCUUAUUUCACCUCACUUGCUCACAUUGUAUAUAGACUUAUUUUUCACUAUAUUAUUGACUGUAUGUUUGUUCUACUUAUUAGGGUUUGAGGCAGAGAAUCCCAGUGGAGAGAUGGGAACCGGCCAGGCAGAGACAGCAAGGGCAGUUCGUUGCUCCAGUGCCUUUCCGUUCACCUUCACACUCCUAUGCCAGACUACACUCAAUCAUAGGACCUGCUGAAGAGAUGAGUCUUCAAAAAAGACUUACAGGUCGAGACCGAGUCUGCGUCUCUCACAUGGAUAGGCAGACCAUACCAUAAAAAUGGAGCUCUAUAGGAGAAAGCCCUGCCUCCAGCUGUUUGCUAAGAAAUUCUAGGGACAGUAAGGAGGCCUGCGUCUUGUGACUGUAGUGUACUUGUAGGUAUGUAGGGCAGGACCAAAUCGGAAAGAUAGGUAGGAGCAAGCCCAUGUAAUGCUUUGUAGGUUAGCAGUAAAACCUUGAAAUCAGCCCUAGCCUUAGCAGGAAGCAAGUGUAGAGAGGCAGGCACUGGAGUAAUAUGAUCACAUUGUUUGGUUCUAGUCAAGAUUCUAGCAGCUGUGUUUAGCACUAACUGAAGUUUAUUUAGUGCUUUAUCCGGGUAGCCGGAAAGUAGAGCAUUGCAGUAGUCUAACCUAGAAGUGGCAAAAGCAUGGCUAAAUUUUUCUGCAUCAUUUUAGGAUAGAACGUUUCUGAUUUUUGCAAUGUUACGUAGAUGAAAAAAAGCUGUCCUUGAAACAGUCUUGAUAUGUUCAUCAAAAUUGAGAUCAGGGUCCAGAGUAACGCCGAGGUCCUUCAGUUUUAUUUGAGACGACUGAACAACCAUCAAGAUUGUCAGAUUCAACAGAAGAUCUCUUUGUUUCUUGGAACCUAGAACUAGCAUCUCUGUUUUGUCCGAGUUUAAAAGUAGAACAUUUGCCACCAUCCACUUCCUUAUGUCUGAAACACAGGCUUCCAGGGAGGGUAAUAUUGGGGCUUCACCAUGUUUCAUCGACAUGUUUUGUCGUCCGCAUAUCAGUGAAAGUUAACAUUAUGUUUCCGAAUGACAUCACCAAGAGGUAAAAUAUAUAUUCCUACACUUAAAUUACCCUUGCCUAACGAUUGCGUCUGAAGCUGGGCUUGCAGCACAGCUAUCCUCGCCAUAAGGCAAUCGUUCUCCUGUAUAUUAAGAGUACAGCGACUGCAAUUAGAAGUCAUAAUGUUAAUGUUACUACUUAGCUUUGGAUGGUGGAGGUCCUGAGAAACCACGUCCAGAUAAAGCGUCCGGGGUGAAAAAGUUGAAUGAAAAAAUUAGAUGAAAAAAAUAAACAUAAAACGGAAUUUAAAAAGUAAAAAACGUAAAGUUGGCAGGUAGCAAAGUAAGGUUAUCAAAAAAACGCACAGCAGCACGUUAACAAGUAUUAGACACUAUUCAAUCAUCUCUUGUUUUAGAGUAAGAUGGAUGUCUAAACCCACUAACCAUUUAUGUAGGUGUUCUUUGUAUGACAUGAAAUAAAGUGUUGAGUAUAACGUA